CAUGGCUCUCACAUAGGGAACACUUAAAGUUCAGUGCUACCAAGUGAAGAACAAAUGCAUAUUGUAUAUUACAGCGGUAGUAUGUGGGCAAGUCUUUCUGGUGAAGCAACUGCAUCUGCAUUCAAAACAUUUCAACCACCAACGUAGUGCAGGAUACGUGUACAGUUCGACAAAAUAGAGCACCAGUGCAAAUAUCUCGGCAUACCUGUCCAGGGCAGCAAGUGUGUCUACAUUGAAAGCAUUUCAAGUAACAGCAUGUACGGCGGCUCCAUUGUCUGUGGGUCUGCAGAAU
rnacentral:lncRNA from 1 species